AAAUUACCCGAGUUAAUUUUAUAUUUUAAGCAAAAACAUCUCUAGUAGAUUUGCAUCCAUGGCCUGAGGACCUAGAGGCGCAAAGUCUGAAGGGUUGAUCAAUGAGAGUGCUCUGCGUUGUUGUGAAGAUGACCGUUGAGUUCUAUUUUCAAAUAUUCUGGACUGCUUUAUUUUUUCGAUGAAAUGUAGUAUGUUCCUGGGAGGAUCUUGGCGGUGAUGGCGUUCAAACCGGUCCUAUAGGCUCAGGGCACAGGCCAGGUAUGUCUCUCCACAGCCUUGAUGGCAGGCACAGCUUGGAUGGAAUUUAGACUUCCGGAGAGAUUCCAAAAUCAUAGAGACGUGCUAAAGCUACUAAGGUAACACGGAAGCUACUACAAGGAAGAAGAGAUGGAAUUCUCUUUGUAACAGGUUGUUGGAUCGUCACCUUCUACCUUCUAACUGUCGCCCAAGUCCGAGGGAGACCAUAAAAAGCCAUGCACACCUUUCCCAGAGUCACUAUAAAAUUGACGCACAUCCUUCCUUCUCUUCUCGACUGCCAGGCAAUUAAAUCAACUUUAUUUUUGGGUAAACUUUGAAUAUACAAACACUUUUGGUCCCUGUUCCAACCAGAUUAACGCUCCAAUCUCACAGCCACCUAUCCGAUUGAGAUGAGGCAGAGAUUAAUGU
rnacentral:lncRNA from 1 species